rnacentral:tmRNA from 1 species
GGGGAUGUCUCAGAUUCGAUGGCGUAUUAGUUGGCGGUAUAAGCAUACCGGUGCGACACGUUACGAAGGAAAUAAAAAAUAACUGACAAUAAAACUCAAUCUUUCGCUUUGGCGGCUUAAGCCAAGGCUGUCGAACCUUAACUGCUCACAAUUAAGGAAGUCGGCAUCAUUACUGUGAGGCACCGAGUGUUCUUUCGCCUUUGGGGAACAAACGGAAUCAAAAAGGCUUGGAAAAAGUAAGUCCGCUUGCAAACGAACUUGGACGACAACUAUUGCAAACUAAGUAUGUAGAAGGUGCCGUGGACGGUACGUUAGACGUGAGUGCAAGUCUCACCAUCUCCACCA